rnacentral:rRNA from 1 species
UACGUAGGGCGCAAGCGUUGUCCGGAAUUAUUGGGCGUAAAGAGCUCGUAGGCGGUUUGUCGCGUCUGCUGUGAAAACCUAAGGCUCAACCUUGGGCUUGCAGUGGGUACGGGCAGACUAGAGUGCGGUAGGGGUGACUGGAAUUCCUGGUGUAGCGGUGGAAUGCGCAGAUAUCAGGAGGAACACCGAUGGCGAAGGCAGGUCACUGGGCCGCAACUGACGCUCAGGCACGAAAGCGUGGGGAGCAAACAGG